rnacentral:lncRNA from 1 species
AUCAGCAAACAAAAAGGCUUUUUAUUUUUGAAAAAUAUUCAUACAAUUUAUCUGUGCUUUCUUGUUUUUUGUUUUGUUUUGUUAUAGCCUAAUGUUCUUUCCAUGAUGGAAGCUUAAAUACCAUGCGGACAAGUAGAGAAGAAACUUAGGCUUCAUCUUUUCCCUUUUCUCCUACAUAGAAUCAAUGAAGAAGUCUUGCUGAUUUAGCCCAUUGGGAGCAAAGUGAAAACUAAGAAUAGAACAAUAAAAGCCAAAAGGAAGUUAUACACAGACCUGUAUACAAAAAGGCUGGAUUUGAAUGACUGCUAGGUUGUUAAACAACUCACCAUUUCCAUGCCUGAUUUGAGUGGAUGACAGACUGCUUUAUAAGCAUCUGGGACAUCCAUGCUCCUGAACAGUGUUCGGUGUUACCCAGCCUUCCAAUUUUGACCUCUGCAGUGGUUCCUGGUGGGGACUUCCCAAAGUGGCCUCGGCUCCACAGAAUAUCUGCUAUUGCAUCAUUAACCAGACCAAUACUCCUGCCAAAGAUGGAAGAGCAUGGAGGGC